GGGUUGUGAGGUUAAGCGACCAAGCGUACACGGUGGAUGCCCUGGCAGUCAGAGGCGAUGAAGGACGUGCUAAUCUGCGAAAAGCGCCGGUAAGGUGAUAUGAACCGUUAUAGCCGGCGAUGUCCGAAUGGGGAAACCCAGUGUGA
rnacentral:rRNA from 1 species